UCUUAUCAAGAGAGGUUGAGGGUCUGGCCCUAUGAAACCUCAGCAACCUGCAAGCAUUUAUUGCAAGGUGCUAAUUCCUACAAGUUUUUUCGUAAAACUUGACAGAUAAGA
rnacentral:ncRNA from 1 species